UGGACUUUAAGAGGUAGUUUCCUACUUUUCAUUGUUAGGUAUAGGGAGCUGCUAGAAUGCAGAGGUUAUUGUGAGGAGGUUAUGUGCGGAAUGAUAACUAGGCCAUUAGAUUGAUCAAAUGGCUAACAUUAGUAUCCGCUUUAUGCUACAACCGGGUUGGCAUUACCCGUUGAGCAAUGCUAUUCACAAUCGAAGUACUCAAUGUCUACCUUCUUCUCUCUCUCUCUUUCUCUCUUAUUUUAAUUAGUUUUUCUCUUUUCUCUCGGUUGUCUCCCUCUUUCUUUUAUUUUUCUUCUCUCUUUUAUUAUUCUUCUCUUUGUUGCCUCACUCACCUCUUCUCUCGUCUGUUUUCUCUCUCCCUUUCACCCACAUCGGCGAC
rnacentral:lncRNA from 1 species